GGCAACUUGGCGGAGUGGUUAACGCGUCAGACUCGAAAUCUGAUUCCUUCGGGAGCGUCUGUUCGAAUCAGGCAGUUGUCG